GGGGUACCUGCGGAAGGAUCAUUG
rnacentral:rRNA from 1 species